rnacentral:rRNA from 1 species
AGAGUUUGAUCCUGGCUCAGGAUCUACGCUGGCGGCGUGCUUAACACAUGCAGGUCGAACGGGUGUACAGAAGGGAAGAUUACGGUCGGAAGGUCUGUGCAUGAGUGGCGGACGGGUGAGUAACGCGUGGGCAACCUGGCCUGUACAGGGGGAUAACACUUAGAAAUAGGUGCUAAUACCGCAUAACGGGGGAAGCCGCAUGGCUUUUCCCUGAAAACUCCGGUGGUACAGGAUGGGCCCGCGUCUGAUUAGCCAGUUGGCAGGGUAACGGCCUACCAAAGCGACGAUCAGUAGCCGGCCUGAGAGGGCGGACGGCCACACUGGGACUGAGACACGGCCCAGACUCCUACGGGAGGCAGCAGUGGGGGAUAUUGCACAAUGGGGGGAACCCUGAUGCAGCGACGCCGCGUGGGUGAAGAAGCGCCUCGGCGCGUAAAGCCCUGUCAGCAGGGAAGAAAAUGACGGUACCUGAAGAAGAAGCCCCGGCUAACUACGUGCCAGCAGCCGCGGUAAUACGUAGGGGGCAAGCGUUAUCCGGAUUUAUUGGGUUUAAAGGGUGCGUAGGCGGCCUGCCAAGUCAGCGGUAAAAUUGCGGGGCUCAACCCCGUACAGCCGUUGAAACUGCCGGGCUCGAGUGGGCGAGAAGUAUGCGGAAUGUGUGGUGUAGCGGUGAAAUGCAUAGAUAUCACGCAGAACCCCGAUUGCGAAGGCAGCAUACCGGCGCCCGACUGACGCUGAGGCACGAAAGUGCGGGGAUCAAACAGGAUUAGAUACCCUGGUAGUCCGCACAGUAAACGAUGAAUGCUAGCUGUCCGGGGGGAUUGACCCCUGGGUGGCACAGCGAAAGCGUUAAGCAUUCCACCUGGGGAGUACGCCGGCAACGGUGAAACUCAAAGGAAUUGACGGGGGCCCGCGCAAGCGGAGGAACAUGUGGUUUAAUUCGAUGAUACGCGAGGAACCUUACCCGGGCUCAAACGCCGAAGGGACAUUCCCCGAAAGGGGAUUGGCCAGCAAUGGUCUUCGGCGAGGUGCUGCAUGGUUGUCGUCAGCUCGUGCCGUGAGGUGUCGGCUUAAGUGCCAUAACGAGCGCAACCCCCACCGACAGUUGCUAACUGGUCAAGCAGAGGACUCUGUCGGGACUGCCGGCGCAAGCUGCGAGGAAGGCGGGGAUGACGUCAAAUCAGCACGGCCCUUACGUCCGGGGCGACACACGUGUUACAAUGGCAGGUACAGCGGGAUGCCAUGGGGCGACCCAGAGCGGAACCCGAAAACCUGUCUCAGUUCGGAUUGGAGUCUGCAACCCGACUCCAUGAAGCUGGAUUCGCUAGUAAUCGCGCAUCAGCCACGGCGCGGUGAAUACGUUCCCGGGCCUUGUACACACCGCCCGUCA